rnacentral:rRNA from 1 species
UAGGGAAUCUUCCACAAUGGACGCAAGUCUGAUGGAGCAACGCCGCGUGAGUGAAGAAGGUUUUCGGACCGUAAAGCUCUGUUGUUGGUGAAGAAGGAUAGAGGUAGUAACUGGCCUUUAUUUGACGGUAAUCAACCAGAAAGUCACGGCUAACUACGUGCCAGCAGCCGCGGUAAUACGUAGGUGGCAAGCGUUGUCCGGAUUUAUUGGGCGUAAAGCGAGCGCAGGCGGAAGAAUAAGUCUGAUGUGAAAGCCCUCGGCUUAACCGAGGAAUUGCAUCGGAAACUGUUUUUCUUGAGUGCAGAAGAGGAGAGUAGAACUCCAUGUGUAGCGGUGGAAUGCGUAGAUAUAUGGAAGAAUACCAGUGGCGAAGGCGGCUCUCUGGUCUGCAACUGACGCUGAGGCUCGAAAGCAUGGGUAGCGAACAGGAUUAGAUACCCUGGUAGUCCAUGCCGUAAACGAUGAGUGCUAAGUGUUGGGAGGCUUCCGCCUCUCAGUGCUGCAGCUAACGCAUUAAGCACUCCGCCUGGGGGAGUACGACUGCAAGGUUGAAAC